GAUGAACGCUGGCGGCGUGCCUAAUACAUGCAAGUCGAGCGAACGGACGAGAAGCUUGCUUUUCUGAUGUUAGCGGCGGACGGGUGAGUAACACGUGGAUAACCUACCUAUAAGACUGGGAUAACUUCGGGAAACCGGAGCUAAUACCGGAUAAUAUUUUGAACCGCAUGGUUCAAAAGUGAAAGACGGUCUUGCUGUCACUCAUAGAUGGAUCCGCGCUGCAUUAGCUAGUUGGUAAGGUAACGGCUUACCAAGGCAACGAUGCAUAGCCGACCUGAGAGGGUGAUCGGCCACACUGGAACUGAGACGCGGUCCAGACUCCUACGGGAGGCAGCAGUAGGGAAUCUUCCGCAAUGGGCGAAAGCCUGACGGAGCAACGCCGCGUGAGUGAUGAAGGUCUUCGGAUCGUAAAACUCUGUUAUUAGGGAAGAACAUAUGUGUAAGUAACUGUGCACAUCUUGACGGUACCUAAUCAGAAAGCCACGGCUAACUACGUGCCAGCAGCCGCGGUAAUACGUAGGUGGCAAGCGUUAUCCGGAAUUAUUGGGCGUAAAGCGCGCGUAGGCGGUUUUUUAAGUCUGAUGUGAAAGCCCACGGCUCAACCGUGGAGGGUCAUUGGAAACUGGAAAACUUGAGUGCAGAAGAGGAAAGUGGAAUUCCAUGUGUAGCGGUGAAAUGCGCAGAGAUGUGGAGGAACACCAGUGGCGAAGGCGACUUUCUGGUCUGUAACUGACGCUGAUGUGCGAAAGCGUGGGGAUCAAACAGGAUUAGAUACCCUGGUAGUCCACGCCGUAAACGAUGAGUGCUAAGUGUUAGGGGGUUUCCGCCCCUUAGUGCUGCAGCUAACGCAUUAAGCACUCCGCCUGGGGAGUACGACCGCAAGGUUGAAACUCAAAGGAAUUGACGGGGGCCCGCACAAGCGGUGGAGCAUGUGGUUUAAUUCGAAGCAACGCGAAGAACCUUACCAAAUCUUGACAUCCUUUGACAACUCUAGAGAUAGAGCCUUCCCCUUCGGGGGACAAAGUGACAGGUGGUGCAUGGUUGUCGUCAGCUCGUGUCGUGAGAUGUUGGGUUAAGUCCCGCAACGAGCGCAACCCUUAAGCUUAGUUGCCAUCAUUAAGUUGGGCACUCUAAGUUGACUGCCGGUGACAAACCGGAGGAAGGUGGGGAUGACGUCAAAUCAUCAUGCCCCUUAUGAUUUGGGCUACACACGUGCUACAAUGGACAAUACAAAGGGCAGCGAAACCGCGAGGUCAAGCGAAUCCCAUAAAGUUGUUCUCAGUUCGGAUUGUAGUCUGCAACUCGACUACAUGAAGCUGGAAUCGCUAGUAAUCGUAGAUCAGCAUGCUACGGUGAAUACGUUCCCGGGUCU
rnacentral:rRNA from 1 species